CCCUUAGAUGUUCUGGGCCGCACGCGUGCUACACUGAGUGGAUCAGCGGGUCAGGUUGCGCGAAAGCGUUUCCUAAUCUUUAAAUCCGCUCGUGAUGGGGAUUGACGGUUGCAAUUUUCUGUCAUGAACGAGGAAUACCUUGUAAGCGCGGGUCCUCAUCCCGCGCUGAAUACGUCCCUGCCCUUUGUACACACCGCCCGUCGCUCCUACCGAUUGAGUGGUCCGGUGAGGCUUUGGGAUCUGAGCGGAAAGAGCGUUUCGCUGUUUCUGCUCGGAAAACUCAGUCGAACCUUAUCAUUUAGAGGAAGGAGAAGUCGUAACA
rnacentral:rRNA from 1 species